CUGUUUGUCUCCGCCAGCAACAAGAAGAGCAGAAUAGAUAGUUGAAGGAACCAUUGUCAAGGUAUUCCUGAAUCGGUUAUCGGCUGCUUGUCUUAGUUUCGACAGAAACGGGCUUUACUAUUUGAUGCUCAGCCCUUGUUGUGUUCUAAACCUGUCUAACAAGACUCUCAGCCGUUCAAAUCAUAACGUAUAGUAUAAUUACGGUUUAUUACCGUUAGUUAUUUAAUUGAUUAAUUGUUACUUAUUUAUUGAGUUUAUUACUGUUAACCUCUAUGUUUUGUUGCUGAUGUGUAUCACGUUACGAAGUGGAUCGAGGGUCUUCCAGGCAUCAGUGUGAGGAGCUGCUUUCCCUGAAAAAAAAAGGGGUUCUGGGCCCGUGUUGUCUGUUUGGCUGGCAAAGCCCGAAGGCCUUACACAGCCGGAUGGUCUUCCGCCGGCGUUCCUUAAGAUUUGCUAUAAAUGAGAAUCUUAAGCGCCAAGUUCGUGGCUGGGUUUUCGAUGACCUGCAACGUUUGUUGACGAAGUAAAAUGAAAGAAGUAAUUAGAAAUGUAUUGUUUAUUUGUUUCUUUGUGUUUGACAGGAGUAACCCUUAGUUGUUGUCGUUAUCUUCCGUCGGGUGAAGCGUUGCCCAUUGUCACCCGCGGUGAAAGUGUCUGUAUCCCGUCGAAUGCACUGGCGCAGCCACAGCCGCGGGCAAAGCCAGGCUAGGAAUCAGCCUCUGGCUCGUUUAUCCAUAAUAAUGUCCGCCGUAGCCGCCGCGGCCACCACCGAAUCCGCCACCAAAGAAGCCACGUCCACCAAAGCUUCCGAAGUGACCGGGCUCAGGGUCGGCAUCGGCGCUCCUCUUUCCACGGUAGUAACCACCCCCAUGUCCGCCAAAGCCGCCAAAGCCGCCAAAGCCACCGCCACCAAAGCCGCGGAAGCGUCCGGGCUCAGCCUCGGGCUGAGGCUCUGGGUCGGCAUCGGCGCUCCUCUUUCCGCGGUAGUAACCACCGCCAUGUCCGCCAAAGCCGCCAAAGCCGCCAAAGCCACCGCCACCAAAGCCGCGGAAGCGUCCGGG